GGGCUCACCGCGGCAUGCGCCUCUCCUGCAGCUGCUGACAUCGGCGUGGGGCUGGCGGGCCAGGAGGGGACGCAGGCCGUGCAGAACAGCGACUUCGCGCUCGGUCAGUUCUGUUUCCUUCAGCGGCUGCUGCUGGUGCACGGCCGCUGGUCCUACAUGCGGGUCUGCAAAUUCCUGCGCUAUUUCUUCUACAAGACGAUGGCCAGCCUGGCGUCCCAGUUCUGGUUCGCCUUCUACACUGGCUUCAGCGCCCAGGUGUGCGGUCGGUCUCUCUCCCUUUCUCGGGGAGUAUGGAGCCGGCCGGGCCUUCCGGGACCCCUCCCCAACCUCCUCUCGAACUGGGGAGAUAAGUGUGAGCCUGCAAGACUGAGACCCCAGCAUCCUAGGAGGCUGAGGGGGGAGGAGGGAUGUUUAAAAACUUGGAGACAUCUCAGUUUCCUCAGUCAUGAGGUUUCUCCAGGCCCGGCUUGCAUUGCUUUGCAAUCCUCCUGUCUCAGCCUCCCAGAGCGCUGAGAUGAUAGGGGUGCAGACACCAUGCCCAGCUUUCCCCCUGGUUUUUAUUUUUCUUUUAAUUUGCACUGAUCUUUAUACAAACUUUGCUUAACCCACUCCUGGUCUCAGCCCACAACCCCAACUGUGACAGUACCUCCUGGUCCCCUGGGGAGCCCUCCCGGCUGCCCACGGGCCUCUGAGCGCCCUCUCUGUCCGCCCCGCACAGCCACUGUAUGAAGGGUGGUUCCUGUCGUUGUACAAUCUGCUCUACAGCACCUUACCCGUCCUCUACGUGGGGCUCUUCGAGCAGGAUGUGAGCGACAAGCAGAGCCUGCAGAUGCCUGAGCUGUACGUGGCUGGCCAGAAAGAUGAGCUUUUCAACUACUGGGUGUUCUGCAAAGCCAUCACCCAGGGCCUGGUCACCUCCCUGGUCAACUUCUUCUUUACUCUGUGGAUCAUCCGCGACACGGCCGGGCCCAGCAGCCUCAGUGACUACCAGUCCUUUGCAGUGGUGGUGGCCCUGAGCAGCCUGCUGACCAUCACCAUUGAGAUCAUGCUGAUCGUAAGGUACUGGACCUUCCUGUUCGUGGGGACCGUGCUCCUCAGCCUGGGCUGCUACUUUGUCAUGACGUACAUCACCCAGAGCCUGUGGCUUUACCGGCUGUUUCCGAAGACAUUUCCGUUUCUGUAUGCCCUCCACAAUGUGCUGACCAAGGCGUCGCUGCUGCUGGUGCUGCUGCUGAAUGUGGUGGAGGAGGCAGAGGUGCCCCCCAGCGAGGAGGUCUCGGAGGAGCCCUUGCCUCUCAGGCGCCAGUCCCGCGUGCGGCGCUCCAGCUACGCCUUCUCCCAUUACGAGGGCUACGGGGACCUCAUCACGCAGGGCAAGAUCCUGCGGAGGCCGCGCAGGGACAGCAGCGACACGAACGUGAACAUCUCCGCGGCCCUGCCCUCCGAGGUGGAGGAGCUGCCCUCGGCGCCCCCGGAGCCCAGGAAGAUCUCGUUCCUGGCGAACCCGAUGCUGCAGCUCAGGUCCAGGGCCACCUCCCAGGACGCCGGCCAGGACCAGUGGACAGGCCCCGGCGGGCAGGGCAGGUGGUUGGAGCCCUCGCUUCCGGAGGCCCCGCUGUCCCAAGAGCGCUCCUGGUCGGUGGCUGAGGCUCAGGCACCAGCCUUGGCGAGGCCAUCACUGCCCUGGGGUCAGGGCUCCGGGAGUGGGGCGCCCCCCUUGCAGACCCAGGACUCCCUGAGUGAGCAGGCCAUGGAGACCGAGUCCGGGUCCCUGGAGCGGGAGCCCUCCCCGAUGGAGUGGCUGCCUGAGUACUUCCAGGAGGUCCCGAUGCCACCUCCUCCCGGACAGCCGGCUCUCAACGCCAAGGACAAGGAAGCUGUGCCCUAUGCUUUUUCUAAUAAACCUAGAUCCGCCUGAC
rnacentral:lncRNA from 1 species